rnacentral:rRNA from 1 species
GACGAACGCUGGCGGCGUGCUUAACACAUGCAAGUCGAACGAAGAGCGAUGGAAGCUUGCUUCUAUCAAUCUUAGUGGCGAACGGGUGAGUAACGCGUAAUCAACCUGCCCUUCAGAGGGGGACAACAGUUGGAAACGACUGCUAAUACCGCAUACGGUCUAACCUCGGCAUCGAGGAAAGAUGAAAGGUGGCCUCUAUUUAUAAGCUAUCACUGAAGGAGGGGAUUGCGUCUGAUUAGCUAGUUGGAGGGGUAACGGCCCACCAAGGCGAUGAUCAGUAGCCGGUCUGAGAGGAUGAACGGCCACAUUGGGACUGAGACACGGCCCAGACUCCUACGGGAGGCAGCAGUGGGGAAUCUUCCGCAAUGGACGAAAGUCUGACGGAGCAACGCCGCGUGAGUGAUGACGGCCUUCGGGUUGUAAAGCUCUGUUAAUCGGGACGAAAGGCCUUCUUGCGAACAGUUAGAAGGAU